rnacentral:rRNA from 1 species
UACGUAGGGGGCAAGCGUUGUCCGGAAUCAUUGGGCGUAAAGAGCGUGUAGGCGGCCUGGUAAGUCCGCUGUGAAAGUCCAGGGCUCAACCCUGGAAUGCCGGUGGAAACUGUCAGGCUCGAGUCCGGAAGAGGCGAGUGGAAUUCCUGGUGUAGCGGUGAAAUGCGCAGAUAUCAGGAGGAACACCAAUUGCGAAGGCAGCUCGCUGGGACGUUACUGACGCUGAGACGCGAAAGCGUGGGGGAGCAAACAGG